rnacentral:rRNA from 1 species
GCAAGAUUAAAACUCAAAGGAAUAGACGGGGACCCGCACAAGCGGUGGAGCAUGUGGUUUAAUUCGACGAUACGCGAAGAACCUUACCUGGCCUUGACAUAGAAAGAACUUUCCAGAGACGGAUUGGUGCUAGUUUACUAGAGCUUUCAUACAGGUGCUGCACGGCUGUCGUCAGCUCGUGUCGUGAGAUGUUGGGUUAAGUCCCGCAACGAGCGCAACCCUCGUGUUUAGUUACUAACAGUUCGGCUGAGGACUCUAGACAGACUGCCUGGGUAACCAGGAGGAAGGUGAGGACGACGUCAAGUCAUCAUGGCCCUUACGGCCAGGGCUACACACGUGCUACAAUGGGGUAUACAAAGAGCUGCAAUACGGUGACGUGGAGCAAAUCUCAUAAAAUAUCUCCCAGUUCGGAUUGAAGUCUGCAACUCGACUUCAUGAAGUUGGAAUCGCUAGUAAUCGUAGAUCAGCAAUGCUACGGUGAAUACGUUCCCGGGUCUUGUACUCACCGCCCGUCACACCAUGGGAAUUGAAUUCAUUCGAAGCGGGGAUGCUAAAAUAGCUACCUUCCACAGUGGAUUUAGUAACCAGGGUGAAGUCGUAACAAGGUA